rnacentral:rRNA from 1 species
CUUUUGACCUCGGAUCAGGUAGGGAUACCCGCUGAACUUAAGCAUAUCAAUAAGCGGAGGAAGA